rnacentral:rRNA from 1 species
UAGGGAAUCUUCCGCAAUGGACGAAAGUCUGACGGAGCAACGCCGCGUGAGUGAUGAAGGCUUUCGGGUCGUAAAACUCUGUUGUUAGGGAAGAACAAGUGCUAGUUGAAUAAGCUGGCACCUUGACGGUACCUAACCAGAAAGCCACGGCUAACUACGUGCCAGCAGCCGCGGUAAUACGUAGGUGGCAAGCGUUAUCCGGAAUUAUUGGGCGUAAAGCGCGCGCAGGUGGUUUCUUAAGUCUGAUGUGAAAGCCCACGGCUCAACCGUGGAGGGUCAUUGGAAACUGGGAGACUUGAGUGCAGAAGAGGAAAGUGGAAUUCCAUGUGUAGCGGUGAAAUGCGUAGAGAUAUGGAGGAACACCAGUGGCGAAGGCGACUUUCUGGUCUGUAACUGACACUGAGGCGCGAAAGCGUGGGGAGCGAAACAGGAUUAGAUACCCUGGUAGUCCACGCCGUAAACGAUGAGUGCUAAGUGUUAGAGGGUUUCCG